ensembl:processed_transcript
AACUUUAAGCACACGUGUGCGUCCUCAGCUGGCAGCCAUGGCUGGCGGGUCCUUCCUCGCACGUGCUGCGGCCCUCACCUUAUCUUCCGUCAUCAGGGCACAGGCGCCGUGCAGGGCUAUUCCGAGUCCAGGUAAAGAUGGCUGAGCUCGGUGGCAGGAGGUCAGCCUGCAGUGGAGCAGGGACGUUUGCCCUGGGGAGACACGUGCCACCGGGUGGACAUCGAGGCCCUGGGGGUGGCCCUACAGCGUGGAAGGGAUGACCGAGCUCUGGAAGAUGUCCUGGAAACCUAAGGUGCUAGAGUUAGAAGAAACUUGAUAGCACUUCAGAGACCAUCAGGCUGUUUCGUGGAACUUCCACCAAAGAGAUGCAGAAAUGGAGACUCCAGAGCUGGAGAGAGAGAUGACUCAACGGUUAAGAGCACUGACUGCUCUUCCAGAGGUCCUGAGUUCAAUUCCCAGCAACCACAUGGUGGCUCACAAUUAUCUAAUGGGGAUCCGAUGCCCUCUUCUGGUGUGUUUGAAGACAGUGAUGGUGUACUGACAUACAUGAAAUAAAUAAGUAGAUUAAUAAAUAGAAAUGAGACUCCA